rnacentral:lncRNA from 1 species
AUGAGGGUGUAUGUACAGAAGCGGAUAUAUCUGGUCUUGGGGGUCUGCCUUAUGCUGCUUUUUCUCCCUCUGCCUGGUGUCCAGGUCCCCCUUCCUUCUCCAGCUCUAGCGUCCCCCAUUGGGUCCUCUGUGGUAUGUCUGGGUGUGGGGGUAUGUGGGGUGUCCCUGAGGCAGUGCAGAUGUUUUGGUGUGGACAAUGUGAUGCCACGGAGCCUGUCCAUGUGCCCAGAUUCCUGGAGGUGUGGGAUGGGAGGUGUGGGACCCAACGGGGUGCCUGGCAGAAGUGAUUCACCAGUGAGGCUGGAGGCAGCAAUGCUGUGACUGCAGAGAGGUGAAGGUGGCAGCGGUUACUUCCUUGCCUGGCUGCAGCUGGCUUUGGUCCUGUGAUUUCACCAGGGCUGCCUGGGGAGAAGCUUGUGCUUGCUCCCGGGAGGAGCGCCUGGGGUGCCUGUCGCUGAGCUACUGGGCCCUGAGUUCUGGGGAUGCUCCUUUUGUCUGGUAGAUGAAUGAGAGGUGGGUUCUUGUCCUUCUUCUUUGGGGAACAAUUUCCUGUGAUGAGGAAGCAAAGACUAGUGGCUAGCAUGGAGGGCCAUAAGUCCAUUCUGCGUGUCCUGGCAUUUCUGGUUAAAUUUGACUAGAAGCAAGUCCUGCUGUAGUUCUUUUUUCUCUGUAAAAGUGAAAUGAUAAAAUUGCACUGCCACACGCCCAGCCCGUCACCAGCUAGUUUCUUUUCUCUGCACCCCUCUGAGCUCCUACUGCCACUCCAGAGUGGGCACACCCUGUGGUGGUUGCACUGUUCCUUUUCUUUCUGUCUCUGGAAUUUGCAGUAGUUUAAAGUAAUUGCCCCUUGGGGAUGGGUCAGUUUCCCAAUUCCUGGAGCAAACAGCUCUUGUCACGGGCUCUUCCCUGGACUGCCUGGCCACCGGCAGCCAAGGAGGCCUUUCUGCCCUGCUCCAUGGUGUGGGGCAUGCUCUGCCCCACUGUGGCUCUUGGUCCCUCUUACCCUGGGGCUUGUUUCUGAGGUGCUGCCCAAGCAUCUAACCCCAGCUAGGGGCUUUUGGGAGAUUGCAAAUAGAUUGCUGGGGUGUUACUCUUUAAAUUUGGCUUGGGUGUUUCAAGGCUCUCUGUUGAAUCCUGACCGAUCUGUUGUGGACUUUGGGGUUUUACAGCAGGGAGAACCCCCACUGUAGCCCUGAAGAAGAGGAAUACUUGAAGGAGAAAAAUUGCUAAGUGUCAUACCCUCACCUGAAAGAUGUAAAUCUCUGGAUAAAUAACAUUAUUUUGAAGGAAGGCUGUCAGGCAUCAUCCUGCUAUUAUAGCU